UACGUAGGGCGCAAGCGUUGUCCGGAAUUAUUGGGCGUAAAGAGCUCGUAGGCGGCUUGUCGCGUCGGCUGUGAAAACCCGGGGCUCAACCCCGGGCCUGCAGUCGAUACGGGCAGACUAGAGGUAGGUAGGGGAGAAUGGAAUUCCCGGUGUAGCGGUGAAAUGCGCAGAUAUCGGGAGGAACACCGGUGGCGAAGGCGGUUCUCUGGGCCUUACCUGACGCUGAGGAGCGAAAGCGUGGGGAGCGAACAGG
rnacentral:rRNA from 1 species